UCUUUAAGCCAUUGCGAGUCGAAUGUAGCAAUACAUGGCGAACUGCUCAGUAACACGUGGACAACCUGCCCUUAGGGUUGGGUAUAAACCCGGGAAACUGGGUAUAAUACCCGAUAGGUCUCGAUUGCUGGAAUGCAUCGAGAUUUAAAGCUCCGGCGCCUAAGGAUGGGUCUGCGGCCUAUCAGGUAGUAGUGGGUGUAGCGUACUACUAGCNUACGACGGGUACGGGUUGUGAGAGCAAGAGCCCGGAGAUGGAUUCUGAGACACGAAUCCAGGCCCUACGGGGUGCAGCAGGCGCGAAAACUUUACAAUGCUGGCAACAGCGAUAAGGGAACCUCGAGUGCCAGGUUACAAAUCUGGCUGUCGAGAUGCCUAAAAAGCAUUUCAUAGCAAGGGCCGGGCAAGACCGGUGCCAGCCGCCGCGGUAACACCGGCGGCUCGAGUGGUAACCGUUAUUAUUGGGUCUAAAGGGUCUGUAGCCGGCUGGAUAAGUCUCUUGAGAAAUCUGGCAGCUUAACUGUCAGGCUUUCAGGAGAUACUGUCUGGCUCGAGGCCGGGAGAGGUGAGAGGUACUUCAGGGGUAGGGGUGAAAUCUUGUAAUCCUUGAAGGACCACCAGUGGCGAAGGCGUCUCACCAGAACGGACCUGACGGCAAGGGACGAAAGCUAGGGGCACGAACCGGAUUAGAUACCCGGGUAGUCCUAGCCGUAAACGAUACUCGCUAGGUGUCGGCCACGGUGCGACCGUUGUCGGUGCCGUAGGGAAGCCGUGAAGCGAGCCACCUGGGAAGUACGGCCGCAAGGCUGAAACUUAAAGGAAUUGGCGGGGGAGCACCACAACGGGUGGAGCUUGCGGUUUAAUUGGAUUCAACGCCGGAAAUCUUACCGGGACCGACAGCAAUAUGAAGGCCAGGCUGAAGACUUUGCCGGAUUAGCUGAGAGGUGGUGCAUGGCCGUCGUCAGUCGUACCU
rnacentral:rRNA from 1 species